rnacentral:rRNA from 1 species
AACGAACGCUGGCGGCAUGCCUAACACAUGCAAGUCGAACGAGACCUUCGGGUCUAGUGGCGCACGGGUGCGUAACGCGUGGGAACCUGCCCUUAGGUUCGGAAUAACUCCCCGAAAGGGGUGCUAAUACCGGAUAAUGUCUUCGGACCAAAGAUUUAUCGCCUUUGGAUGGGCCCGCGUUGGAUUAGCUAGUUGGUAGGGUAAAAGCCUACCAAGGCGACGAUCCAUAGCUGGUCUGAGAGGAUGAUCAGCCACACUGGGACUGAGACACGGCCCAGACUCCUACGGGAGGCAGCAGUGGGGAAUAUUGGACAAGGGGCGAAAGCCUGAUCCAGCAAUGCCGCGUGAGUGAUGAAGGCCUUAGGGUUGUAAAGCUCUUUUACCCGGGACGAUAAUGACAGUACCGGGAGAAUAAGCUCCGGCUAACUCCGUG